GCUGUGAGCAGGAUCCUCGAGCCUCCACCACAGGGAGGGAAGGGCCGGCCGGGCCUCGAGGGCUGAACGUUGGCGUCCUUGCCCUUCAUCUUCCAGGGGGUGAUGCUAGGCAUACCUCAUCCCUCCCUUUGACUGGACCUGCUGGGGAAGAAGGCACAGCAGGAGCCCUGCCACCUUCAGCCCGGGCCUGACCCAGCGGUCCAGAAGUCGACAAAUGGCAAGCAAAAAGCGUGAAGUCCAGCUACAGUCAGUCGUCAAUAGUCAGAACUUGUGGGAUGAGAUGUUGCUGAACAAAGGCUUAACAGUGAUUGAUGUUUACCAAGCCUGGUGUGGACCUUGCAAAGCCGUGCAAAGUUUAUUCAGAAAACUAAAAAAUGAACUGAACGAAGAUGAGAUUCUUCACUUCGUCGUUGCUGAAGCUGACAACAUUGUGACUCUCCAGCCAUUUAGAGAUAAAUGUGAGCCCGUGUUUCUCUUUAGUCUUAAUGGUAAAAUCAUUGCAAAGAUUCAGGGUGCAAAUGCUCCACUUAUCAAUAGAAAAGUCAUUACCUUGAUAGAUGAAGAGAGGAAAAUUGUAGCAGGUGAAAUGGAUCGUCCUCAGUAUGUUGAAAUUCCACUAGUAGAUGCAAUCGAUGAAGAAUAUGGGGAAGUACAGUAUGAAAGUGCUGCGGAAGUUUACAAUAUGGCAAUUAUCAAACCUGAUGCUGUACUCAUGAGAAAAAAUAUAGAAGUUAGGGAAAAAAUAGCCAAAGAAGGAUUUGUUAUAGAAAUACAAGAAAACCUGAUUCUCCCUGAAGAGGUAGUGAGGGAAUUCUACACUCAUAUAGCAGACCAGCCUGACUUUGAAGAGUUUGUCGUUUCUAUGACAAAUGGCCUCAGCUGUGUGCUCAUUGUAUCUCAAGAAGACUCCGAGGUUAUUCAGGAAGAAACUCUCCCGCAGACUGAUACAGAAGAAGAACCUGGCGUUUUGGAAGAGCCUCACGUUAGGUUUGCACCUGUGAUGAUAAAGAAGAAACGGGACAGUUUGCAAGAGUAUAUGGACCGACAGCAUAUGUCUGAUUACUGCGAUGUCGAGGACGAUGCGGUUAAGGUCUCUAAGCUCAUUGACAUAUUAUUCCCUGAUUUUAAAACUAUGAAAAGCACGAAUGUACAAACGACGCUAGCAUUACUGCAUCCAGACAUCUGUGAGGAAGAGAAAGAUGACGUGUUGAACGUUAUUCACAAUGAAGGGUUCACCAUACUGAUGCAGAGGCAAAUCGUAUUAUCAGAGGAAGAAGCAAGAACAGUGUGCAAGAUCCAUGAAAACGAAGAGUAUUUUGAUAAUCUUAUAGGGCACAUGACCAGUAAUCACUCUUAUGUCCUUGCUCUACGGAGGGAAAAUGGUGUGGAAUAUUGGAAAACAUUAAUUGGGCCAAAAACGAUUGAGGAAGCUUAUGCAUCUCAUCCACAGAGUUUAUGUGUACAGUUUGCUUCAGGGAAUUUUCCUACCAACCAGUUCUACGGGAGCAGUUCAAAAGCAGCAGCUGAGAAGGAAAUAGCGCAUUUCUUCCCUCCCCAGAGCACACUUGCAUUGAUCAAGCCUCAUGUGACACACAAAGAAAGAAUGGAGAUCCUGAAGACCAUUAAAGAGGCAGGAUUUGAGCUGACCCUGAUGAAGGAAAUGCACCUGACUCCAGAGCAUGCAAACAAAAUUUAUUUCAAAAUAACAGGAAAAGAUUUUUAUAAAAAUGUAUUGGAAGUCUUAUCUUUGGGCAUGUCGCUAGUCAUGGUUUUGACCAAGUGGAAUGCUGUUGCAGAAUGGAGGCGAAUGGUUGGCCCAGUAGACCCAGAAGAAGCAAAACUGCUCUCCCCAGAAUCCCUCCGAGCCAAAUAUGGACUAGACAUUUUGAGAAAUGCUGUCCAUGGGGCGUCUAACUUUUCUGAAGCAUCAGAAAUCAUUAGUAAUGUGUUCACAGAGGGUAAUCCUGAGAACUAGCACAAAUACUAGAGUGAAUGAAACUUGAUUAUUGUCUCUCAUCUUGAACAAAAAGCCAACUCCACAAGUGCAUCAAAGGCCUAGAACUGAAACAUCCAGCAGAAAAGGCAUAGAGCACAUUAGAGUACAGGCAGAUUUAAGGACCUUCUCUGUAGGACUCUUGAUGCUCCUGAAAUAAGACAACAACUGGCACAUGGUACCUCAUGAAAUAAAACAGCUUUUAGCACAACAGAGAAUACCACAGUGGAGAGUUCACAGAAGCUCAAGGAGGUAAUGAAGAAGUUUUCA